UAGCAUUGAAGCUCUGCUUGC
rnacentral:misc_RNA from 1 species